rnacentral:rRNA from 1 species
UACGUAGGGUGCGGGCGUAAUCGGAAUUACUGGGCGUAAAGGGCUCGUAGGCGGCCAACUAAGUCAUACGUGAAAUCCCUCAGCUUAACUGGGGAACUGCGUGUGAUACUGGAUGGCUUGGAUUUGGGAGAGGGAUGCGGAAUUCCAGGUGUAGCGGUGAAAUGCGUAGAUAUCUGGAGGAACACCGGUGGCGAAGGCGGCAUCCUGGACCAAUAUUGACGCUGAGGAGCGAAAGCUAGGGGAGCAAACGGG